rnacentral:ribozyme from 1 species
UUUUUUUUUUUUUUUUUUUUUUUUUUUGUUGCCUUU